rnacentral:rRNA from 1 species
CCUUUGCUGGCUGGUGGAGGUGGACCUGGACUCUGCUGUGUCAUCCAUGGCUGGUCUGAAAUGCAUGAGUGUACCCUGCUGUUGCAGCGUCUUCAGUGUGAUAAGUAUCCUCACUGAACAAAGUUCCCUCAGGACACGCACGCACAGUGGGCCCUGCGCUUUCCAACCGUCUGCCUGCCAGACAACCUUUGACAACUUGACCUCAAAUCGGGUGGGAUUACCCGCUGAACUUAAGCAUAUCAAUAAGCGGAGGAAAAGAAACUAACAAGGAUUCCCCUAGUAACGGCGAGUGAAGAGGGAAAAGCUCAAAUUUUGAAUCUGGCAUCUUUGGUGCCCGAGUUGUAAUCUAGAGAAGUGUUUUCUGCCUCGGACCACACAUAAAUUCCCUGGAAUGGGGUGUCAUAGAGGGUGAGAAUCCCGUUUGUGGUGUGGACUACCUUGGCUCUGUGAUACACUCUCAACGAGUCGAGUUGUUUGGGAAUGCAGCUCAAAAUGGGUGGUAAAUUCCAUCUAAAGCUAAAUAUUGGCGAGAGACCGAUAGCGAACAAGUACCGUGAGGGAAAGAUGAAAAGCACUUUGGAAAGAGAGUGAAACAGUACGUGAAAUUGUUGAAAGGGAAGCGUUUGAAGUCAGUCGCAUCUGUCGGGGCUCAGCCUGGCUUUGCCUGGUGUACUUCCUGGCAGAUGGGUCAGUGUCAGUUUUGACCGGGAGAGAAAGGCUUGGGGAAUGUGGCUGUCUUCGGGCAGUGUUAUAGCCCUUUGUCGUAUGUCUCGGUUGGGACUGAGGUCAGCAGCACGCCUUAUGGCCGGGGUUCGCCCUCGGUACGUGCUUAGGACGCUGGCAUAAUGGCU